AUAUUAGCUAUUCCUGUUUCUACUGUGGCGUCCGAGUCAGUUUUUAGUAUCGGAGGUCAUGUCCUUGACCCUUAUCGUAGUGCUUUGAGUCCCACCACUGUAGAGGCUUUAAUUUGUACUCAAAAUUGGUUAAAACCUGCUAAGAUUUUGGUUGAGCUUGAUGAAGGAGAUGCUGCGGUUGAUUCAGAAUUUUCUGGAGUUACUAGUGCUGGAGAUCCUGAAGUUCAAAGUCAAUUACAUCCUCCUGAACCAUCUUAGGAAUACACUAUUCAUGUUUGCUGCUGAUGGCUGCUGCCUGCUGAUUUAAGAAGGGAUGGCUCAAGUUUAAUUUUUAAGUAGCAAGAAACUUCAUUCUCAAUGUUCUUUCAACAAUCUUAGAUUUUAGUAUCUUAUAAUCUUGGAUCAAAUUGUUUUGUUUCUGCUGAUAGUUGAUAACUUGAUAAGCAUUUGCAGAUUCAGAUUGUUUAGAUUUUAGUGGGGUACUA